UGGUUAUAAAAGUAAAAAGGGGCUAAUUUAUGUAUUAGCCUAACAAAGACGGGAGGACAUGCCAACAGAGAAAGCUUAAGCAACUAAGAAAAAAUAAUAUGACUUGUCUUCAGUCACAUGAAAUGAGGGCCUCCGCAAUCUAGUGCCAACCAGAGGCCUGAACUCCAACUACAUGAUAGUUUAUCAUAUAAGCCUAUUUGAAUUCUGUGAUAGCUUUGAAUUUCAUUUUGGUUAAAACUGUAUCAAUUGGGAUUUAGAAUUGAAAAGGAGGAAAAGAAUAAAUUACAACUUCUAGCAGGAUUUUCAAAUACAUCCUAAACAUAAGAACUAAUCACAUUCAAGAAUCUACCAAAUCAAAAAAAACUUAAUACUGUUCAAAUGUUAAAAAAAAAAAAACCUUAAUACUGUAAAGAUCAUCAAAGUACUGUCCACUAAAAUCAAAUGAAAAUCCAGAAUACCCAAUCACAAUUCGCAACACAUUACAGUUACAUUUCAUUAAAAUUUGCCACUCAGAUAACACUUGUCUCAAAAUUCGUUAAACAGCGAUGGAUGCUUCGGGAAAAAAAAUAUUAUCGUUGUUACAAAUCUAACCCAUCAGUUCUUUUCCUCCUGAUAUUCGAAAAUACCCAUAAAAAUUCUUUAUCUCGAUACCAGACCCAA
rnacentral:misc_RNA from 1 species